rnacentral:rRNA from 1 species
UACGGGGGGGCAAGCGUUGUUCGGAAUUACUGGGCGUAAAGGGCUCGUAGGUGGCCAACUAAGUCAGACGUGAAAUCCCUCGGCUUAACCGGGGAACUGCGUCUGAUACUGGAUGGCUUGAGUUCGGGAGAGGGAUGCGGAAUUCCAGGUGUAGCGGUGAAAUGCGUAGAUAUCUGGAGGAACACCGGUGGCGAAGGCGGCAUCCUGGACCGACACUGACACUGAGGAGCGAAAGCCAGGGGAGCAA